GAUGAACGCUAGCGGCAGGCUUAAUACAUGCAAGUCGAGGGGCAGCGCGGUAGCAAUACUGGCGGCGACCGGCAAACGGGUGCGGAACACGUACGCAACUUACCCCUAACUAGAGGAUAGCCCAGAGAAAUUUGGAUUAACCCUUUAUAGUACGACUGGUUGGCAUCAACUGGUUGUUAAAACUCCUGUGGUUAGGGAUGGGCGUGCGUCGGAUUAGGUAGUUGGUAGGGUAAUGGCCUACCAAGCCGACGAUCAGUAGCUGACGUGAGAGCAUGAUCAGCCACACGGGAACUGAGACACGGGCCCGACUCCUACGGGAGGCAGCAGUAAGGAAUAUUGGUCAAUGGACGCAAGUCUGAACCAGCCAUGCCGCGUGAAGGAUGAAAGUCCUCUGGAUUGUAAACUUCUUUUAUCUGGGACGAAACACUGGUUUUCUAACCAGCUUGACGGUACCAGAGGAAUAAGCACCGGCUAACUCCGUGCCAGCCGCCGCGGUAA
rnacentral:rRNA from 1 species